GUUACUGACCCCAACAUCAUAUUAAGACGCGCUUGGUCGGGACUCUUGGCAUCACUUUUUGAUGCUCAGGGUUGGGACGUACGUUUAACUGACAUGCGGCACAAGUGCAGGACAGUUAGUUUUAGCAACAGGUCAAGAGUGGGGUUACAAAAUGGAUAUUUCAUU